UCAAGCGAACAAGGGCGCAGGGCGAAUGCCUUGGCACUGGGAGCCGAUGAAAGACGUGAUAAGCUGCGAUAAGCUUCGGGGAGCUGCAAAUAAGCAUUGAUCCGGAGAUUUCUGAAUGAGGAAACUCACCUGGGUUCAUACUCAGGUACGUUGUACUGAAAUUCAAAAUAGGUACAUCGGGGGAACCGCCUGAACUGAAACAUCUAAGUAGGGCGAGGAAGAGACAUCAAACGAGAUUCCGUAAGUAGUGGCGAGCGAACGCGGAAGAGGGCAAACCGAGAGUAGAAAUACUUUCGGGGUACGGACUGCUUUUAGGACUUAAUCUGUUAACCGAACGGCAUGGGAAGGCCGGUCAGAGAGUGUGAGAACCACGUAGGUGAAAACGACAAGAGCUGAGCGAUUUCCAGAGUACGGCCAGACACGUGAAACCUGGUCGGAAGAUGGGGGGACCACCCUCCAACCCUAAAUACUACCCAGUGACCGAUAGCGUAUAGUACUGUGAAGGAAAGGUGAAAAGCACCCCGGGAGGGGAGUGAAAAAGAACCUGAAACCCUGUGCCUACAAGCACCUAGAGCACGUCAAUGUGUGAUAGGGUACUUUUUGUAGAACGGUCCGGCGAGCGAUUGUAUGCAGCAAGGUUAAGGACUUAAGGUCUGGAGCCGAAGCGAAAGCGAGUUUGAAAAGGGCGUUAAGUUGCAUAUAAUGGGCCCGAAACCGGGUGACCUACCCAUGGUCAGGUUGAAGUGGAAGUAAAAUUCCAUGGAGGACCGAACCGACCUCCGUUGAAAAGGCGGCGGAUGAACUGUGGGUAGCGGAGAAAUUCCAAUCGAACCCGGAGAUAGCUGGUUCUCCCCGAAAUAGUUUUAGGACUAGCCUCAAGUUAGAUACCUGGAGGUAAAGCACUGAAUAGCCUAGCGGCCGAGAGGUUAGCGAAGCUUAUCAAACUCAGAAUGCCAGAGUAUUGAUGCUUGGGAGUCAGACAGUGUCAGAUAAAUGUCAUUGUCAAAAGGGAAACAGCCCAGAUCUACAGCUAAGGUCCCAAAGUCAGGUUAAGUGGAAAACGAUGUGAAGAUACGCAGACAACCAGGAUGUUGGCUCAGAAGCAGCCACUCAUUCAAAGAGUGCGUAAUAGCUCACUGGUCGAGCGUCUUUGCGCGGAGAAUUUAACGGGGCUAAACCUGACACCGAAGCUUAGGCAAUCCAGCAAUGGAUUGGGUAGGGGAGCGUUGUAUACGCGGAGAAACAGUAGCGUAAGCGGCUGUGGAGUGUAUAGAAGUGAGAAUGCCGGAAUGAGUAGCGCGAAUGCAGUGAGAAUCUGCAUGGCCGAAAGCCUCAGGUUUUUGGAGGAAGGUUCGUCCGCUCCAAGUUAGUCGGGAGCUAAGGUGAGGCCGGAAGGCGUAGCCGAUGCACAGACGGUAGAGAUUCCGUCACCACCAAAAGAGUUAAGCACAGGGACACAUUUGAAGUCUCAGAGCCGGGUGUUGGUUCCGGUAGAGAUCGAGGGAAAUUAGUACCGAAGUCUGAGAUGGAAGAUGGCGAGAAAAGCUGUGUGUAUUUCUGAGGUGCCCGUACCGCAAACCGACACAGGUAGGUAGGAAGAAGAUUCUAAGGCCAACGGGAGAAGGGUUGUUAAGGAACUCGGCAAAUUGACCCCGUAACUUCGGGAGAAGGGGUGCUCCAGAGAUGGAGCCGCAGAGAAUCGGCCCAAGCAACUGUUUACCAAAAACACAGGUUUGUGCUAAAUCGAAAGAUGACGUAUACGAGCUGACGCCUGCCCGGUGCUGGAAGGUUAAGAGGAGAUGUGCAAGCAUUGAAUCGAAGCCCCAGUGAACGGCGGCCGUAACUAUAACGGUCCUAAGGUAGCGAAAUUCCUUGUCAGGUAAGUUCUGACCCGCACGAAAGGCGUAACGAUUUGGGCGCUGUCUCAGCUGUAGACUCGGUGAAGUCUUAGUACCUGUGAAGAUGCAGGUUACCCGCGACUAGACGGAAAGACCCCAUGGAGCUUCACUGCAGGUUGAUAUUGGGAUUUGAUGCAGCAUGUACAGGAUAGGUAGGAGGCAAAGAGAUGGAUACGCCAGUAUUCAAGGAGCCGCUGUUGGGAUACUACCCCUGUUGUAUUGGAUUUCUAACCGGACGACGUAGAGCCGUUGACGGGACAGUGUCAGUCGGGCAGUUUGACUGGGGCGGUCGCCUCCCAAAGAGUAACGGAGGCGCCCAAAGAUACCCUCAGCUUGGAUGGAAACCAAGCGCAGAGUGCAAAGGCAAAAGGGUGUUUGACUGCGAGACCCACAAGUCGAGCAGGGACGAAAGUCGGGCUUAGUGAUCCGGCGGUGCUGAAUGGAAAGGCCGUCGCUCAACGGAUAAAAGCUACCCUGGGGAUAACAGGCUGAUCUCCCCCAAGAGUUCACAUCGACGGGGAGGUUUGGCACCUCGAUGUCGGCUCAUCGCAUCCUGGAGCUGAAGUCGGUUCCAAGGGUUGGGCUGUUCGCCCAUUAAAGCGGUACGCGAGCUGGGUUCAGAACGU
rnacentral:rRNA from 1 species